rnacentral:rRNA from 1 species
AGAGUUUGAUCAUGGCUCAGGAUGAACGCUAGCGGCAGGCUUAAUACAUGCAAGUCGUGGGGCAGCACAGGUAGCAAUACUGGGUGGCGACCGGCAAACGGGUGCGGAACACGUACGCAACCUUCCUUUAAGCGGGGGAUAGCCCAGGGAAACUUGGAUUAAUACCCCAUAGAAUCAUAGGAUGGCAUCAUCUAGUGAUU